rnacentral:rRNA from 1 species
AGCAGCCGCGGUAAUUCCAGCUCCAAUAGCGUAUAUUAAAGUUGUUGCAGUUAAAAAGCUCGUAGUUGAAUUUCGGGAUCAAGUCGUCGGUCGUGCUCAGGUACGUACUGGCGUCAUUGAUUUCUCCCUUCUGACGAACCAUGAUGUCAUUAAUUUGGUGUUAUGGGAAAUCAGGACUGUUACUUUGAAAAAAUUAGAGUGUUUAAAGCAGGCUCACGCUUGAAUACAUUAGCAUGGAAUAAUGAAAUAGGACGUUCGAUCCUAUUUUGUUGGUUUUAGGAUCAACGUAAUGAUUAAUAGGGAUAGUUGGGGGCAUUAGUAUUCAAUUGUCAGAGGUGAAAUUCUUGGAUUUAUUGAAGACUAACUACUGCGAAAGCAUUUGCCAAGGAUGUUUUCAUUAAUCAAGACGAAAGUUAGGGGAUCGAAGACGAUCAGAUACCGUCGUAGUCU